GUGGGGUAAUGGCCUACCAAGGCGACGACGGGUAGCCGGCCUGAGUGGGCGACCGGCCACACUGGAACUGAGACACGGUCCAGACUCCUACGGGAGGCAGCAGUGGGGAAUAUUGCGCAAUGGGCGGAAGCCUGACGCAGCGACGCCGCGUGAGGGAUGACGGCCUUCGGGUUGUAAACCUCUUUCGGCAGGGACGAAUUUGACGGUACCUGCAGAAGAAGCACCGGCCAACUACGUGCCAGCAGCCGCGGUAAUACGUAGGGUGCGAGCGUUGUCCGGAAUUAUUGGGCGUAAAGAGCUCGUAGGCGGUUCGUCGCGUCGAAUGUGAAAACCCGGGGCUCAACUCCGGGCUUGCAUUCGAUACGGGCGGACUAGAGUUCGGUAGGGGAGACUGGAAUUCCUGGUGUAGCGGUGAAAUGCGCAGAUAUCAGGAGGAACACCGGUGGCGAAGGCGGGUCUCUGGGCCGAUACUGACGCUGAGGAGCGAAAGCGUGGGGAGCGAACAGGAUUAGAUACCCUGGUAGUCCACGCCGUAAACGGUGGGCGCUAGGUGUGGGGACCUUCCACGGUCUCUGUGCCGCAGCUAACGCAUUAAGCG
rnacentral:rRNA from 1 species